UACGAAGGGGGCUAGCGUUGCUCGGAAUCACUGGGCGUAAAGCGCACGUAGGCGGCUUUCUAAGUCAGGGGUGAAAUCCUGGAGCUCAACUCCAGAACUGCCUUUGAUACUGGAGAGCUUGAGUCCGGGAGAGGUGAGUGGAACUCCGAGUGUAGAGGUGAAAUUCGUAGAUAUUACGGAAGAACACCAGUGGCGAAGGCGGCUCACCUGGCCCGGUACUGACGCUGAGGUGCGAAAGCGUGGGGAGCAAACAGG
rnacentral:rRNA from 1 species